rnacentral:rRNA from 1 species
UACGGAGGAUGCGAGCGUUAUCCGGAUUUACUGGGUGUAAAGGGAGCGUAGACGGCGAUGCAAGUCUGAAGUGAAAGGCGGGGGCCCAACCCCCGGACUGCUUUGGAAACUGUAUGGCUGGAGUGCAGGAGAGGUAAGUGGAAUUCCUAGUGUAGCGGUGAAAUGCGUAGAUAUUAGGAGGAACACCAGUGGCGAAGGCGGCAUACUGGACUGUAACUGACGUUGAGGCUCGAAAGCGUGGGGAGCAAACAGG